rnacentral:rRNA from 1 species
UACGUAGGUGGCAAGCGUUUGUCCGGAAUUAUUGGGCGUAAAGCGCGCGCAGGCGGUCCUUUAAGUCUGAUGUGAAAUCUUGCGGCUCAACCGUAAGCGGUCAUUGGAAACUGGAGGACUUGAGUGCAGAAGAGGAGAGUGGAAUUCCACGUGUAGCGGUGAAAUGCGUAGAGAUGUGGAGGAACACCAGUGGCGAAGGCGACUCUCUGGUCUGUAACUGACGCUGAGGCGCGAAAGCGUGGGGAGCAAACAGG